GGGGGGACUGGCGGCGUGCUAUACAUGCAAGUCGAACGAGUUCUGAUUAUUGAAAGGUGCUUGCAUCUUGAUUUAAUUUUGAACGAGUGGCGGACGGGUGAGUAACACGUGGGUAACCUGCCCUUAAGUGGGGGAUAACAUUUGGAAACAGAUGCUAAUACCGCAUAAAUCCAAGAACCGCAUGGUUCUUGGCUGAAAGAUGGCGUAAGCUAUCGCUUUUGGAUGGACCCGCGGCGUAUUAGCUAGUUGGUGAGGUAACGGCUCACCAAGGCAAUGAUACGUAGCCGAACUGAGAGGUUGAUCGGCCACAUUGGGACUGAGACACGGCCCAAACUCCUACGGGAGGCAGCAGUAGGGAAUCUUCCACAAUGGACGCAAGUCUGAUGGAGCAACGCCGCGUGAGUGAAGAAGGCUUUCGGGUCGUAAAACUCUGUUGUUGGAGAAGAAUGGUCGGCAGAGUAACUGUUGUCGGCGUGACGGUAUCCAACCAGAAAGCCACGGCUAACUACGUGCCAGCAGCCGCGGUAAUACGUAGGUGGCAAGCGUUAUCCGGAUUUAUUGGGCGUAAAGCGAGCGCAGGCGGUUUUUUAAGUCUGAUGUGAAAGCCCUCGGCUUAACCGAGGAAGUGCAUCGGAAACUGGGAAACUUGAGUGCAGAAGAGGACAGUGGAACUCCAUGUGUAGCGGUGAAAUGCGUAGAUAUAUGGAAGAACACCAGUGGCGAAGGCGGCUGUCUGGUCUGUAACUGACGCUGAGGCUCGAAAGCAUGGGUAGCGAACAGGAUUAUAUACUCCUGGUAGUUCAUGCCGUAAACGAUGAAUGCUAUGUGUUGGUAGGGGUUCCGCCCUUCAGUGCUGCAGCUAACGCAUUUAAGCAUUACGCCUGGGGGAGUACGACCGCAACGUAAGAAACUCAACUGGAGUUGACUGUGAGCCCGGCACAAGCGAGGGAGCAUGUGGCUUGCAUUUCGAAUUCACACGCGAGAGCGAUACUAGACUAGACAUUCGUAUUGAUCUCCGUGAGAACAUCAGGAUCCGCAUCCGGGCCAGAUGACAAGAUUGUUGCAUGCAUGCAGGGAUUCGGUCGCUGAGAGCUCUGGGCUUACGUGCCGGAGCGACCGCCACCUCA
rnacentral:rRNA from 1 species